AUGGGGUGGGGGACAGAGUGGGAAACACUCCCUGAAUCCAGUUCGUGCAGCCGUGUCCUUCCAAAGCCGGCCUCUGCUGGCGUGAGUCUCGAUGAAGCUGUGCUUGCAGCCUUGCUAGCGAGAGCUGCCAUGAGGGUGUUUUGCUUGAGGGGAUCUGGUGUUUGCUUCUCUCUUCCUCCCGCAUUGGGGAGAGUGGCUGAAGCGGUGGCGUUGCCGGUCUGGCGGGGCAACAGGGAUGGAGGGAGCCGGCUGGGGCUGAGCCCUGCGCCCGGCCUGGCUCGUCCCUCGGUCCUGGCUGCGGAGGAGCCUUCUGAGGAGGGAUUGAGGUUGCUGCCUGCACCGGGAGCUGCAGCUCCUCGGCACAUCGGGGCCGAGCGACUUCAUCUCUGCCCUGAACCUCCCGUGUCCCUGGGGGUGGCUGGGGAGCGCAGCUGGCGCCAAGUGGAGAGGUUUGGCGUCAACCCUCUGUGCAGCCAUGUGAAACGUCCCCGUGCUGAGAGCCGGGUGCUCCUCUGGGCUCCCCCAGCUCUGCCUUUGCCACUGCCUUGGGGACCUGUGGUUGCUGCCCAGGAUGAGCUGGCGCGGAAGAACGGCUCCAUGGCCACCAGCCUUGAGGACAGCGGGGUGAGCAGGAUGGGGACACCAUGGCUGGUGCCUUGCUUCCUCCGAUGGCCUUGCGGGCGCUGGGGUGUCCCUGGUGGGGAGACAUGCCCAUCGCUGGGGGUCCCCUACCGCAUGCUGCUCUCCAUGGCUUUGUUUUGGGGGGGCAGCGCUGUGCUUAGUGCACCACAGCAGCAGUUUGCUAGUGGUCUGGGGGUGGUGCAGAACAUCGGGAUGAAUCGCCUGCUGUUGCCUUCUGGGUGCUGCUGGGCUGGGUUUUCUGGGGAGGUGCCGCGCUCCCCGGCUCCUCUGCGGCAGAGCAUCAGUUCCCAGCCAGAGCUCGUUUGGCUGGAGUUUGCACGGCCAGAGUCUGACCUGGGCCACCAGAAAAGCCAGCUUUGUCUUGCCCCAAUUCAGCUCUCAAGGGACUUUUUCUGCAGCACAAGUGAUGCUGUGUCAUUGCAAUGA
rnacentral:lncRNA from 1 species